UAGGGAAUCUUCCGCAAUGGACGAAAGUCUGACGGAGCAACGCCGCGUGAGUGAUGAAGGCCUUCGGGUCGUAAAACUCUGGUGUUAGGGAAGAACAAGUACCGGAGUAACUGCCGGUACCUUGACGGUACCUAACCAGAAAGCCACGGCUAACUACGUG
rnacentral:rRNA from 1 species